rnacentral:lncRNA from 1 species
UUCUCUCUUCAAAACCGUGAGCUACUCUCUUCCAUUUCCAAUCAAUUUCUCUUCAUUUCUCAAUCAUUUUUAUGCCAAAAUUAAUCAUUCAAACCAAUAAUCAUGCAUUUCACUCUCAUUAAACACUUCCCAAUCUUCAUUUCUUCACUUGUUCUUCAUCAUUUCAUCAUCAUCUCUCACACGUGAACAGUACCUCUUCAUUUCUCUCUCAAAUUUCUUCAUCUUUCACUCAUUCUCUUGCCAAAAUCAAUCAUCCAACUCAUUAUUCAUCCAUUACUCCUUCAAUUUUCACUCUCAAAACUUGAUUUCAUUAUCUCUCCACAUAAAACCCAAAAUCAAAAACCUAACUUACCCAUUUCUUUCUCUUCCAAUUUAAGCUCUUUUUAGUCCACUUUUGAUCCAAUCAACACCAUCCAUUAUCUUAAA